rnacentral:lncRNA from 1 species
CCUUAGUGUGUUACCAGGCUUGAAAUGAACAGGAAUGUGGUGUUUGCCAAAGAUCCUCUUGAGUUUUUCCGACAGGCCUGCAACGUAAGGGAUUACAGUGCUCUUGCGUCUCUCCUCCCUUUCCUGUUCAGUGUUAUUUCUCUUUCUGUUCUUCACAAAGGCCCACUUAGGGUAUCCACAGGUUGUCAGGGCAUUUUUGAUGUGCUUCUGUUCCUUUUCCUUACCUUCUUUCUUCGUGGGAAGAAAGUAAGAUAAAUAUCUGCUCCUGACACUAGCACUUUUAGAACUGAAGAAGCUUCUUAGAUAAGAGGCGAAACGUCCUCUCAACUCUACACAGUCCAGUUGCCUGUUUUUAAGUCUUCAAGAUAACCAUGACCUGGAUGAAUGAGAAUCUACAUGGACAUAUUGGAUCACACUUUGGGUCGGAUACCCUUCAGCUGGUCCGGGAGCACGAGAAAACUUGCAGGAAGAUGGCGGAUUACAGAAACCACCUCCGCUUCAACCUAAGAUGCAGACAGCAAGGACUUGUUCCCAAAAGCCUACACUUGUUUUCCACCGUUAAAGGGCACAGAGCAGACAGCAUCCUUUGCAGGACACAGAAGCAGCUCCUCAAUGAAAGGAUUAGGCAGGUUAACUUCACCAUCGAGGCCUUACAAGAUAAAAUAUAUCACACCAAGGAGACACUGGCAUCCCGACUUCCAGAGGACAUCCUCAACAAAGUCCACAACUUUGUUGACAAGGCUCAGAACUCUCAACACAACAAAGGCAAGAUAAGGCAAACACAGAAAUUUGACAGACUGCUCUCCAAGCACUCAAAGAGUCCAUCAGAACUUGGUUGGAGGGACAAAACGGACAGCCACAUAGAUACCAACAUGCAAGAAAAGUGGGUGAAGAAUUUGUCAGACAGGGUCCUCACUCAGCCGGAAAAGGAAGUCCUUUACAAAGGACUUAAUUUUGCAGUUACCCCUGAACAGAUCCCGGUGGUAGACCUUAUCACAGCCACGGAGUCAGCGAUCCGCAACAACAAUCUAGCGGUCACAGAGGCAGAACAACUUAGGUUGAAGGUAACAGCUGCUCUCUCGAAUGCCAAAACACCUCCUUCCAACCUGACCAUGCAGGAAAGAAGAGCCUUGGCAUCACUGCAAAAAGAUGAAAACAUCACCAUCCUGCCUGCAGAUAAGGGGAGAUGCACUGUGGUACUCAACACCAGGGAUUACCAUGACAAGGUAACAAGCCUUCUCAGUGACACUGCCACCUAUGAAACUCUUAAACGGGAUCCCACCAACAGCUAUAAAAAGAAAGUUAUCAGUGCACUUCAACAGCUUGAAAAGGAUGGAGUUAUCGACCGCCCACUCUAUUACCGACUGUACCCAGGGGAAGCUGUCCCGUGCAUUUAUGGAUUACCAAAAAUACACAAGGAAGGGGCGCCCCUUAGACCUAUCAUCAGCAGCAUUAACUCAGUCACAUACAAAGUGGCAAAACAUUUGGCCACCAUCCUAGCUCCUCUUGUCGGCCACACCACUCACCAUGUCAGAAACUCACAGGACUUUGCUGAGAAAAUCAAGGACAUCAGGUUGGACCCAGAUGAAACCAUGGUUUCCUAUGAUGUCACAUCACUUUUCACAAGUAUUCCAACAACAGAGGCAGUCCAAGCAGUAAGACAACGCCUCUCACAGGACAGCACACUGGAAGUCAGAACCAACUUAACCCCGGACCACAUCUGCUCCUUAUUGGACAUCUGCCUCAGCACCACCUAUUUCCAGUUCAGAGAGCGCCAUUACAGACAGAAACACGGAUUCGCGAUGGGCUCCCCGGUUUCUCCAAUAGUGGCAAACCUGUACAUGGAAGAGGUAGAGAGGAAGGCCCUAACCUCUUUCAAGGGAGCCGCUCCUAGCCACUGGUUCAGAUAUGUGGAUGACACCUGGGUUAAGAUCAAAACACAUGAAGUAGAGGCCUUCACUGACCAUAUCAACACAGUGGACAGCAACAUCAAGUUCACCCGUGAAGAUGUCAAGGACAAAGUGUUGGCCUUUUUGGACUGUGCUGUACACUUGGAGGCAGAUGGGUGUCUCAACUUUGAAGUGUACAGGAAACCAACACACACAGAUCAAUAUCUACUUUUUGAUUCCCACCAUCCUCUGCAGCACAAACUGGGUGUCAUCAGAACACUCAACCACCGGGCCGAGAACAUUCCCACGAAGAAAGAAGGUAAGGAAAAGGAACAGAAGCACAUCAAAAAUGCCCUGACAACCUGUGGAUACCCUAAGUGGGCCUUUGUGAAGAACAGAAAGAGAAAUAACACUGAACAGGAAAGGGAGGAGAGACGCAAGAGCACUGUAAUCCCUUACGUUGCAGGCCUGUCGGAAAAACUCAAGAGGAUCUUUGGCAAACACCACAUUCCUGUUCAUUUCAAGC